UGCUUCUUCUUUUCCCUGUUU
rnacentral:miRNA from 1 species